rnacentral:rRNA from 1 species
UACGAAGGGGGCAAGCGUUGUUCGGAAUUACUGGGCGUAAAGGGCGCGUAGGCGGCUUAACAAGUCACUUGUGAAAUCUCCGGGCUUAACCCGGAGCGGCCAAGUGAUACUGUCGUGCUAGAGUGCGGAAGGGGCUACUGGAAUUCUCGGUGUAGCGGUGAAAUGCGUAGAUAUCAGGAGGAACACCGGUGGUGUAGACGGCUUUCUGGACCGUAACUGACGCUGAGACACGAAAGCGUGGGUAGCAAACAGG